CAGUUAAUUUCGCUUGCAACACAUCAAGUUCGAUGAGUUCAUAAUUUGUUUUGAUAUUGGGAACCAGUUUCACAUAGCUUGGUCACGAUAAAUGAGGUUGAGACAAGUGAGGCCAGGAAACAGGAAUAUAAAAAGGUAAUAACAAUGCUUAAGGAGAGUGAGCAUAUGGACUUUAGGAAGACGAAUAAAGAGAUCCUUCAUGGACUCCUAGAUUGCAUUUGAACAUUGAAUACUAUUUUCUA